CCUACGGGAGGCUGCAGUGAGGAAUAUUGGUCAAUGGGCGCGAGCCUGAACCAGCCAAGUCGCGUGAGGGAAGACGGCCCUACGGGUUGUAAACCGCUUUUGCACGGGGGUAACACCCGCCACUCGUGGCGGUCUGAAAGUACCGGACGAAUAAGGAUCGGCUAAUUCCGUGCCAGCAGCCGCGGUAAUACGGAGGAUUCGAGCGUUAUCCGGAUUCAUUGGGUUUAAAGGGAGCGUAGGCGGACGAUCAAGUCAGCUGUAAAAUCGCGGGGCUCAACCUCGCCCCGCCGUUGAAACUGGACGUCUUGAGUGCACAAGAGGUAUGCGGAAUGCGUGGUGUAGCGGUGAAAUGCAUAGAUAUCACGCAGAACCCCGAUUGCGAAGGUAGCCUACCGGGGUGCGACUGACGCUGAGGCACGAAAGUGUGGGUAUCAAACAGGAUUAGAUACCCUAGUAGUC
rnacentral:rRNA from 1 species